CAUGUGUUCUCUGUCUUCUAUAUAAUAUGUUCAUUCCCUCCGACUGAUCACUGCAAAGCAUCUUCCCUUCAAACCCUGAGAAGAACUCAUCUACAGAGCAUCUGUCAGACAUCUUUAUCCAUCAAAGCAGGGUGGGAGAUCAGGCCCAUACUGCAGGCAACUAAGAUGGCUGGCCUGUGCUGGAUCGCAGUGGUGCUGACCGUCUUCAUGUCUGCUGGAGAUACUUUGGCUGAUGUGGACCAGAUCAAGAAUGGUUUUGGCAGGUGUGGACUCGUUGACAGCGUCAGUGGACUUGUUAGCUCUCCAUGUGUUGCAACCCCUGCCCCAUCAAAUGAAGAAGAGGGAGCAGGCGAGGCAACAGGUACAGACACGGACUCAGAAAUAGCACCAGUUGAAACAAUUGGUCCAGACAUUGGCGGAGAAAUAAGAACCAGAAUACUUGGUGGCAGGGGAAAAAAGAGAGGCGGACGAGUGAGCAGGUGCAAAAGAAAAGGCAGGGGCAGAAAAGGUUGCAAGGGUAAAAAGCCCGGGAAAAAAAGAAGAUGGCAUAAGACCAAAGGAGUGCGCAAAUACAAUGUUGGAGGACGUGGCAGCCGUAAAAAACAUGGUAAAAGCAGCAGCAAGAGUAGAGGCCAGCGUGGGUGGGGACUGCUAUGAUACUGGUAAAGAAAUGACUGUUAGCUCCGGAGAAUCGGAGCGGCAAUUUAAUUAAUCUUAUUGAGCAGAGCAGUGUCUUAUGAAUAAAAAUAUGUGCUUCUUUCUUUUACUUACCAACAGAUUUAAUGAAACCCUUCUCGAAUUAUUUGAAUGUUUUAUUGGCAUUGUCUAUAAACACCUGAGUUUUGGCACUGACACCGAAAGGAUUCCUUUUAGGGGGAUUUAAAAAGAAUUUACAUUUUUGUUGUUGUGAUCACAUCCCAUAAAAUUGCCAGUGUAUUUCAAAGCCAUUUUGUUUUGUCAAGAACAAUUUGUUUUUAUUUUGCUAGUUCUUAAUUAAUUCAUGGUGACGACCAAACAUCAAGCACCUUUCAUGCUCUCAAGGCUAUGAAUGGCUUUGGUUUCCACCCUUCCCAAACAAAACCCAUCGGUAAAAAACAUUGCUUAAUUGAAUAGAAAUACUUAUAUGUUUGGAAAGGCUACACAACAAAGGUAAACCCUUGAUUUUCAUUUUGUGUUUUUGUUUUAACGCGAUGUUCUGCAAUUUUAAACUGAGUCACCAAAGAAGGGUUCAUGUAAAUUAUACUCAGUAUCUUUAGUAGUUUUAUGAUUGUUCUCUGUACUUCUGUAAAGCAUCAUUGUACCAAAUCUUCUGAUGUUUUAGUUCUUUCUAAGUAAAGCUUCGCUAAGCAUCAA